CAUACUCUCAAUCGGAAAACAGUAGAUUAAUUUUUAUUUUUAUAUCUUUUAAGGAAUACAAACUUCUGGUUAUAAUGGAUUGUAAACUAUGUUUUUUAUUGCUGAUGUUAAUUGUACCGAUAUUUUGUUGUAAUACCGGAGAUUUGAAAUGUAAAGAGAGAGAAAUGCUUGUGAUAUUAGAGCUAUACAAACAUUACAGAGAACUCCAGUUUUAUCAAAAUAUGUUACCACAAAAGGCAAGGGAUGAGUUAGUAAAAUCAACCAGAUUUGGCGAUGUUUCAACCAAUGAAAAUGUAAACGAUGUUAUACUGAAUACUCCAACAGAAACAGCCAUUAAAAGCAGAAAACAUUCCGAAAAUAUACAACUAGAUAAAACAAUAAAAAAACUGGAAUCCAUCAUAAAGGAAAUUAGGAAUAUUCUUUUACUAAUUUUAUUAUCGCCAGGACAGAUAGGCGCCA